GCCGGAGUGGUGAAACUGGUAGACGCACUGGACUCAAAAUCCAGCGGAGGCAACUCCGUGUCGGUUCGACUCCGACCUCCGGCACCA
rnacentral:tRNA from 2 species